GGCCGGUUAGCUCAGUCGGUUGAGCAUGGCGCUGACAACGCCAAGGCGGCGGAUUCGAUUCCCAUUCAAUCCC
rfam:Apaloderma vittatum contig32301, whole genome shotgun sequence.